GGAAAGUGCAUCAAUUCGAAUUCUUGAAUCCAAUACUUUACAAUAUUUAAUAUUUUACUUCGACAAACUUCUUCAAUUUCAAACAAUGUGUGAUCACCUUCAAGAACUACAGUCGUGCAAGUAAUUAACAAAAAAUAACACAAUAAAAUAAGUACUCAUUACUAAAAUGUACUAAAUAUAUUAUACCUAUUCUUAAUUAAAAACUUUAAUUAAUUAAAAUAUUCCUCUUCUUUUCAUAUCUUAGGAGUCAUAUGGUGUGUUCGUACUGUGUCAACACCGAAGUAACGAAGGGUCCUCUAGGGAACUCAUGCUGCUGGACCUGCUAUUCGGCUGCCUAGUCCUCUGCUUCCUCAUCAUCCUCUGUUGUCUCAUGUCUUACGAUGGUCUAUCUUCUCAGGCUCCUCCGUCUGCACAAGUUUUGAACAUCCUCAUCAAGUUCCUGAGAUCUAAAAACCAUGCCUGCGACGAUGUUGACAGGGUGGACAAAUACAAACACCAUGGACGGCCAGUCUCAUACAUCUGCCAAUUAGAUGUCGUAAGUGGGACUAUUUCGCUUACGGAUGAUAGUGCAAAUGACUCAUCCUAGCCACUUACAUAAAAAUAAUAAUUAAAAUAAACAUAUCAAUAAUUUAGAUUUUUCAUGUAUUUUUUGUGAGUAUCGAUAGGGUUUGAGUCCCAUUGUGGAUUUACGGGUGCGUGGAAUCAUAUGCAAGACCCAAAUUACAUAUAAUUUUAGGCCAAAUUUCUCUAUUUAAUACUUAAAUAUAUUGACAUUUUUCUGAAAUUUUAUAACUUCUUAAAUAUUAGUUUUAUGAAAUUUUUGGCUUUAUAGUGAAGUAUUGGAAGAUGAUGAAAGGAAAAGGAUAGAUAUUAAGGUUGUUCUAGGAUAUUUUUAUAAUAAAAAAUUAAUUUAAAAAUAUUCCUUGUCAUUAAAAUAUUUUUUAAUUUUGUCAUGUUAGAUCUAUAACGACUAUGUACGCAUUUUUGUAUGGAAAGCGUGUGCAUAUUUUAUGGCUUAAAAGAUAUUAAACUAAUAUUUUCGUGAAAUUUAAAAGAUCACAAGAUGUAGUUUGCUUAUAAAAAUUUACUAACUUUGGGUGUUAAUUUUUUCAAAAUUUUAAUGCGUUCGUAGCUUAAUUUGGAUGCGUUUUGUGAGUGCUAAUAACCCAUGUCUGACAAAAUAUGGUGCAGGAAGUUCAAGAAGUGGGAAUAGACAAGAAUUGAGAACAAGAUCAUAUACUGGCCCAUGACAAAGCAACUAGUAUUAGAGCUUUUUGAAAGAAUGUGUGUGUAUCGAUAGUAAUUCGAUUAAUGAAUGCAAUGAUUUAGUGUAGGUUUAGUUUCACG
rnacentral:lncRNA from 1 species